GGAUGAGAGCAGGAUCUCAAAUGCUAUACAAAAUCAAAGAGCAAAAUGAUACUAAUGCACUAGACCCAUCUGAAUUUACAGUGCAUAAAUCACAUGCCAAUAUGCCAUCAAAUAACACAAAUAAAUUGCAAAGUAAGAUGUCAGAUGGUCUAAGCACGAUCAUGAAGAUGGUUACAUAGCCGAGAGGAUAAGUAAGCAAUUAAAGAUAUGUGGGCAAUAAUUUGUCCUCCCAUAAGACCAUAUCCAGUAAUAAAUGGAAAUGGG
rnacentral:misc_RNA from 1 species